rnacentral:rRNA from 1 species
UACGGGGGGAGCAAGCGUUGUUCGGAUUUACUGGGCGUAAAGGGCGCGUAGGCGGUCAGCACAAGUCAGUUGUGAAAUCUCCGGGCUUAACUCGGAAAGGUCAACUGAUACUGUGCGACUAGAGUGCAGAAGGGGCAACUGGAAUUCUCGGUGUAGCGGUGAAAUGCGUAGAUAUCAGGAAGAACACCCGUGGCUAAGGCGGCUCUCUAGUACGGUACUGACGCUGAGACGCGAAAGCGUGGGGAGCGAACAGG